AGGAAGCGCAAGCAACUGCGAUUGCUUCAGUAACGGCGAGUGAAUGGGCAACAGAUGUCUCAGCCCGAAGCGAGUUUCCCACGCGUUCUGAACGCGCGGCUCUGAGGGGCUCCUGCGAAAGCAGUUGAUGUGGGCUAUGGAGCAGGUGGUUGUGUCUUGGCUGGCCAUGCAUCAGGAAGAAGCCUGGAAAGGCUCACGCGAGAGGGAUACUGUCUCAUAUGAACAGUGUAUGCUGGCCAGUCGGAUGUGGCUGCCUGUAUCCAGGAGUAGAGUGGCUUGGGACUGCAGUUUGAAGCGCGAGGUGUAUCCCUCGCAAGGAAGAACACUGACAUGGGACCGAUAGCGCACAAGUAGAGUGAUUGAAGGAUGCAAAGUACUCUGCGAAGAGAGUUAAAGAGUGCCUGAAGCCUCAGCAGGAACGGCGGAGAUUGAUGUUGUGGAACUGAAGGAUCCAUGGUCAACUGACUGACGGUCAGGACUGUUAUGGCGAAGACCGCAGGCAGUGGGCCUGGUCCUGGAGAGAACCAAGCAACCUUGGGCCAGCCCAGAGCUGGCUUCUGAGCUCCGUUCCCAAGGAUGGGAUGCAAUCGAUGCAGCUUGUGGUGGCAAUCAGCUUGUCAGGGCCUGAAGGUUCACAGAGAUCUCAGAGCAGAGAGGCCGCAUGGAGAGGACACAGAUGUGUGGAAGCCCAAUUGGGCGUGUCCAGCCUGUCACCAAGCAGGCCCAGUGCGAGCCAAGAGAGUGAUGGAAUGGUGCUUCACACCUGGUGUGUCUCCGGACAUGCCAGUGGCUGUGCAGAAGGCUUGGGUUGUAGCUAGGCAGAUCAUGGUGGCUGCAUCACCUUGGUGGUGGCCCUGUGUGACGCCAGCUCCUCAGAUGAUGCAUGGACAGAAAGCAGCUGAGCUUGGUACAGCAGUGCCACUCUCUGCCCGUCUUGAAACACGGACCAAGGAGUCUAUGGAGCUUGCAGAUUUGCAGAUGCACAAACCACAAGGUGUGGUGAAGGCAAGAUCCCAGAUGGUGCAUGGACACAGGCUGGAAGCAUGUGGAAUGUGUGUGCGACAGCAGCCCCAGUGGGGCAUUGUGAUAUCACUGCAUGGGACACCAGGCCCGAAGUCCAGUGGACUGGGUUCGGAGUGAUUGCAAGGUCCAUGGGACCCGAAAGGUGGUGAACUAUACCGUUCUAUGACGAAGCCGUGGGAAACUGCGGUGGAGGUCAGUCGCUGUUCUGACGUGCAAAUUGUGUAGCCUGAGUGCGGCAUAGGGGUGAAAGGCCAAUCGAGCCACCUAGUAGC
rnacentral:rRNA from 1 species